rnacentral:rRNA from 1 species
ACACAUGCAAGUCGAACGGGAAGAGAUGAAGAGCUUGCUCUUUAUCGAAUCCAGUGGCAAACGGGUGAGUAACACGUAAACAACCUGCCUUCAGGAUGGGGACAACAGACGGAAACGACUGCUAAUACCGAAUACGUUCCACGGGCCGCAUGACCUGUGGAAGAAAGGGUAGCCUCUACCUGUAAGCUAUCGCCUGAAGAGGGGUUUGCGUCUGAUUAGGCAGUUGGUGGGGUAACGGCCCACCAAACCAACGAUCAGUAGCCGGUCUGAGAGGAUGAACGGCCACACUGGAACUGAGACACGGUCCAGACUCCUACGGGAGGCAGCAGUGGGGAAUCUUCCGCAAUGGACGAAAGUCUGACGGAGCAACGCCGCGUGAGUGAAGACGGCCUUCGGGUUGUAAAGCUCUGUGAUCCGGGACGAAAGAGCCUUGGGUAAAUAGCCUAAGGAAGUGACGGUACCGGAAAAGCAAGCCACGGCUAACUACGUGCCAGCAGCCGCGGUAAUACGUAGGUGGCAAGCGUUGUCCGGAAUUAUUGGGCGUAAAGCGCGCGCAGGCGGCUUCCUAAGUCCAUCUUAAAAGUGCGGGGCUUAACCCCGUGAUGGGAUGGAAACUGGGAAGCUGGAGUAUCGGAGAGGAAAGUGGAAUUCCUAGUGUAGCGGUGAAAUGCGUAGAGAUUAGGAAGAACACCGGUGGCGAAGGCGACUUUCUGGACGAAAACUGACGCUGAGGCGCGAAAGCGUGGGGAGCAAACAGGAUUAGAUACCCUGGUAGUCCACGCCGUAAACGAUGGAUACUAGGUGUAGGAGGUAUCGACCCCUUCUGUGCCGGA